rnacentral:rRNA from 1 species
AGAUUGAACGCUGGCGGCAGGCCUAACACAUGCAAGUCGAGCGGCAGCACGGGUACUUGUACCUGGUGGCGAGCGGCGGACGGGUGAGUAAUGCCUAGGAAUCUGCCUGGUAGUGGGGGGAUAACGCUCGGAAACGGACGCUAAUACCGCAUACGUCCUACGGGAGAAAGCAGGGGACCUUCGGGCCUUGCGCUAUCAGAUGAGCCUAGGUCGGAUUAGCUAGUUUGGUGAGGUAAUGGCUCACCAAGGCGACGAUCCGUAACUGGUCUGAGAGGAUGAUCAGUCACACUGGAACUGAGACACGGUCCAGACUCCUACGGGAGCAGCAGUGGGGAAUAUUGGACAAUGGGCGAAAGCCUGAAUCCAGCCAUGCCGCGUGUGUGAAGAAGGUCUUCGGAUUUGAAAGCACGUUUAAGUCGGGAAGAAGGACAGUUAAAUUAAUACGUUAGCUUGUUUGAACGUACGACUAGAAUAAGCACG